rnacentral:tRNA from 1 species
GCCUUCGUGGUGUAACGAUAGCACAUUCGGCGCGUAAUCUAGAGCUCCAGGUUCGAGUCUCGGCGAGGGCA